rnacentral:rRNA from 1 species
GACGAACGCUGGCGGCGUGCUUAACACAUGCAAGUCGAGCGGUAAGGCUCCUUCGGGGGUACACGAGCGGCGAACGGGUGAGUAACACGUGAGUAAUCUGCCCUCCACUCGCGGAUAAGCCCCGGAAACGGGGUCUAAUACGUGGUGUGACCACUUCCUGCAUGGGAUGGUGGUGGAAAGUUUUUCGGUGGGGGAUGUGCUCGCGGCCUAUCAGCUUGUUGGUGGGGUAAUGGCCUACCAAGGCUUCGACGGGUAGCCGGCCUGAGAGGGUGACCGGCCACACUGGGACUGAGACACGGCCCAGACUCCUACGGGAGGCAGCAGUGGGGAAUAUUGGACAAUGGGCGGAAGCCUGAUCCAGCAACGCCGCGUGAGGGAUGACGGCCUUCGGGUUGUAAACCUCUUUCAUCCAUGACGAAGCGCCUUUUGGGGUGGUGACGGUAGUGGAGGAAGAAGCACCGGCCAACUACGUGCCAGCCGCCGCAGUAAGAC